rnacentral:rRNA from 1 species
AUUGAACGCUGGCGGCAUGCCUUACACAUGCAAGUCGAACGGCAGCAUAGGAGCUUGCUCCUGAUGGCGAGUGGCGAACGGGUGAGUAAUAUAUCGGAACGUGCCCUAGAGUGGGGGAUAACUAGUCGAAAGACUAGCUAAUACCGCAUACGAUCUACGGAUGAAAGUGGGGGAUCGCAAGACCUCAUGCUCCUGGAGCGGCCGAUAUCUGAUUAGCUAGUUGGGGGGGUAAAAGCCUACCAAGGCAACGAUCAGGAGCUGGUCUGAGAGGACGACCAGCCACACUGGGACUGAGACACGGCCCAGACUCCUACGGGAGGCAGCAGUGGGGAAUUUUGGACAAUGGGGGCAACCCUGAUCCAGCAAUGCCGCGUGAGUGAAGAAGGCCUUCGGGUUGUAAAGCUCUUUUGUCAGGGAAGAAACGGUAGUAGCGAAUAACUACUACUAAUGACGGUACCUGAAGAAUAAGCACCGGCUAACUACGUGCCAGCAGCCGCGGUAAAAC